rnacentral:rRNA from 1 species
CUGAAAUCAGGUGGGAUCACCCGCUGA